GCUCAGAUUGAACGCUGGCGGCAUGCCUUACACAUGCAAGUCGAACGGUAACAGGUCUUCGGACGCUGACGAGUGGCGAACGGGUGAGUAAUACAUCGGAACGUGCCCAGUCGUGGGGGAUAACUACUCGAAAGAGUAGCUAAUACCGCAUACGAUCUGAGGAUGAAAGCGGGGGACCUUCGGGCCUCGCGCGAUUGGAGCGGCCGAUGGCAGAUUAGGUAGUUGGUGGGAUAAAAGCUUACCAAGCCGACGAUCUGUAGCUGGUCUGAGAGGACGACCAGCCACACUGGGACUGAGACACGGCCCAGACUCCUACGGGAGGCAGCAGUA
rnacentral:rRNA from 1 species